CGUUGUUUCAUCUGGAUCUCUUAAUGUAUGCACUUACUGUCAUUGGCUGUAGAUAAGAAUGUCUGCUAAAUGGCUAACAGGUAAAGGUAAAAUGUUCUUGCGGUAACAGAAAAAGACAGUGGUUAGAGUUGUUACAUAUUCAUUUUUACAAUUGAAACUAUAACUAUGAUCAUUGUUUGUGACAAAAAGGUUCUAGAAAGAGAAGUAAUGAAUGUGCUCAUCUGCUGAGUGGUUGAACAUCUGCUGAGUGGUUGAACAUCUGCUGAGUGGUUGAACAUCUGCUGAGUGGUUGAACAUCUGCUGAGUGGUUAAAUGUUUGUGUUUCGAUGUAAGAAAUUAUUUCUUCACCUUUCAUCUUAUGUGGUGUUGGAGUCAUUACUUCAGAUCCAUGAUUAGUUACCACAAUAUGUGUGUGUUUCAGUGAGGUGGAUGGGAACCCAGACUACGACAACCUGGACAUCAGUAUGUGUGUGUUUCAG
ensembl:lncRNA